UAGAUUUCCCUGGUUGCCAACCACCAUUAAAUAACAACAAGAAGAAAAUAUUGAUCUGCUUCUCUUAGUUUUGCACGUUUAAGCCGCAAUUCUCAAAUAAAGCUGCAAAGCAGGAGAACAACAUGGCCAUCAACUAUUCUGUGCCACAGAUCCAGUUCGCUGCAGCACAGAGUGAUGAUGAGACCGUUAACAUGUGCAACUUAGAAGUAGUCAGAGGUAACUGGAUGUUCAAUCGGGUUAAAUGCAAGGUUGAUUGGAUUAUAUCUGAAGAUCAUAUGCUAUUCGUGAUAACUCUGCUAGACUCCAAAUUGCUCGUCCAUGCGGGAGUAUCUCAAAAUUAAAUGAAACCACUUAACACUUCUUCCCUAAAACGGACUGACAUGGGACACAUUAAAGUUGGAUCGGAACCAGCUAAUCAGUCUGAAGGUAAGUGUUUUUUUCACUUAUUCGAGAGAAGUCCGAAAUGCGUUCUUAUUACUGUUUGUUUUGACUUUUAAGCUACCAGGAUAUUUUCAUUCAAAGACAAAAUGUCAAUAUCUAUGAAUGUGGAGACUCAAAAGACUGGUUAGGUAAUAGUUGCCGAUGGAUUUAUGAGACUUGAUAGAAACUUGGACGUUUGCAACAGGUGAAUCGGUGAACUACCGAGGUUGCGCCCAAAUGCUUAAAGCUGUUAGCUGGUCAGUGUUUUCAGGUGUGCUUGUACUACCUGUACGGUGCGGAGUGCUGACUAAGUCAUGUUAAACCCAUUAAAGCGUCGAGCUCAAAUAUCUUUUCAUUUUUGUGCACUGUUCUCUUGUCGGCACACAUUUUCUGUUUAUUGAAGCCUUUUGUGAAUAAUUUUGAUCAUGUAAAAACUGGGAAUUGGUCCCUAUUGACAAUACUCUUAUUUUUUGCCAUUUAGGAAAGGUAAUUGGUCACUGAACUUUUUGCAACUAUGUGUAUUUCUAAAUUUUGUGGCUUCAGUGCACGCAAAUUUAUAUUGUUCAGUUUGCAUGUUAAAAGCCUGCCAAGCACCCCAAGGCUGAUUAUGCUUGAUGAUCCAUGGCCCAUGCUUUCUGGACAUUUACACAAGACGAACAACAAUGAAGACAAGCUCUCUUGCCAUCUUGCAAGACGCUGUCUCUGUCCAAUAGGUUUUUUGAGUGCAACAGUUUUGAUUUUUUUUCCUUCUUUUACCCGUUUGUUAAAAAUUAUUUCAGCUACUUACACUUUAAUUGUCACAUGUAUUGGCUCACCCUACAAAUCAAUGAACUCAGUCCACAAAGCAAGAUCAGGGUUCAGUGCAGGUCAGUCAAGUUCCUUCACACCACACACGCUCAUCCAUGUCGUGGACCCUGUUUUGUGCAUUGAUUUGGUGGUGUGAGCCAGUAUUUUGGACAAAGUGUAUAUAAAGGCAGAAGUGUGGGGCUUGAUAUUAUAUUCAUUACAAUUCAGUUUAUUUGUAUGGUGCCAACAAAAUGAAUGCCAAGGCACUUCACAUUGUAGGUUUAA